rnacentral:rRNA from 1 species
CCUACGGGGGGCAGCAGUGAGGAAUAUUGGUCAAUGGCCGGAAGGCUGAACCAGCCAAGUCGCGUGAGGGACGACUGCCCUAUGGGUUGUAAACCUCUUUUAUAAGGGAAGAAUAAAUGCUACGUGUAGCGUGAUGCCUGUACCUUAUGAAUAAGCAUCGGCUAACUCCGUGCCAGCAGCCGCGGUAAUACGGAGGAUGCGAGCGUUAUCCGGAUUUAUUGGGUUUAAAGGGUGCGCAGGCGGAAGAUCAAGUCAGCGGUAAAAUUGAGAGGCUCAACCUCUUCGAGCCGUUGAAACUGGUUUUU